rnacentral:RNase_P_RNA from 1 species
GAGGAAAGUCCGGGCAACAUAGAGCAUCCUACUUCCUAACAGAAAGCUGUCCGCGAGGGUAGAGUAACGUAGAAGAAAAUAACCGCCGGUGUCCUUGGGCAUGGGUAAGGGUGAGAAGGUAGGGUAAGAGCCUACCAGUCUUGUGGUGACACAAGGGCUGUGCGUCUUGGGAGUUGUAAGGUCAUGUAAACCGACGCUAUGAGAGCUGCUCGCUCCAUGUCGGAGGGUAGACCGCUAAAGCCUGUAUGGUAACAUGCGGCUCAGAUAAAUGACAGACACUUUGCUGAAUGAAGAAUGAUGAAUGAAUAAUGAAGA